rnacentral:lncRNA from 1 species
CCGACACAAAGGCACCAAAAAGACGGGAAUUCAUUUGGCUUUCUGCUCCCUGCCACCUGGGAUACUCAAAAGGGUCUGAGCUGCUGUUGUAGGUACGCACACAGACAUGAAGAACGGCCGUAGCAAAGCAGAGAGCACAAGCUGUGAGACAACAGCCAGCUGUGCCUCUGCAUCCCCAGGACAGAGCGGAGGGGCUGAUAAGGGGUAAUUCAAACAGCACUACCCUGGGGCUGGAUCCAGGCCCAGAACAUGAUCAGCUGCAUCGCCUCACCUCUACCAAGGGGAAGCUUUAUUCAAAUUGCCUUACCUGCCCCUCUGCACAACCACUCCAACCACUGAGCCAGGCUCUGUUCUGGUCCUGCCUCCCACACUGCUGCACAGAGACGCUCUCUACAUCUGCCUGCUGAGCUCUGCAACAAAGCACGAGGAGCCUUAUCUCUGACUGCCUUCAGUUAAACACUGCCUUGGACAUUCCCUCAAUCACCCCUGCUGGAAAAUCACAGCCAGCCCAAAUGUUUCCUUCCCCAUAUCAGGCCAGGUACUUCAUCACACCCAUCUGGCUGGCUUGCAGGUGCCAGACGGAUGACAAGGGAAGCCAGACUGAGCGUGUCCUCCCCAUACUGUCCUCCUGUGUCCCCACACGCUUUGUUUGAUGGCUCUGUCUGAGCCAGACCUGCCAGGAGAGGAUGGACUAACAAAGAAAACCAUUCGCAUCACCAUCAGGGUCAGAAACUCCCCAGUCACCUGGAGAGCAAACACCAGCUUCACAGCAGUGACAAAAAUGCAUAAAGCCAGAGCCAAAACAACUAAGCUGAAGCCAAGAAGACUGAACCAUUUCUACUCCAUAUUCCUAUUCAAAUGAGACAAAUUCAUUUGAACUGAGAGAAAGCAGAACACAACAGACCAAACCCUGCACAGCCUUGUCUUAGGGUGGCUGAUGGCACCAAUGAAGUCCCCUGCUUGGCAAGAGAGGCAGGGAUCAAGUACCCUACAGGAGUAGGGCACACCUACACGCAUAGCCCUGUUCUCAUGCUCUGCUGCAGGGUGCAGAGAUUACCAGGGGAGCCACAAGAAGCUGAGUGACUUCCUGCUGCAAGGAUGCUAAAAAAUAAACAACCAAAAAAAAAAAACCCACCAGCAAAACAACCCAAAACCUACAAGGCCUGGAGGAGAACAGCUCCUUACAGAGAAGCCUGCUUUCAAAUCCAGGUUCUUUGCUUAACAAAUCAGGGCAGUUUACGCUUCUCAGACUGAUAUAGAUCUAAAUGUCUCUAUGCUCCAGUUAGAGCAAUGAAAAAAACACCAGUGGAUCUUAGCAGGCACUGCUACUAAACAAGACACAGCUCCUACUGAAGACCUGUAUAAGCACUGGGAUUCUAACAACACCUAGAAGACGAAGCAAACAACUUCAAGCUUACUGCCCUUUCAUCCCUGGGUUUGCUCUUAAGAUCUGCUCUCUCUGAAGUCUGCCUUCUCCUUCCAAGUGUGGUAGGGACUCUCUUGCAUGAGUAGAAAUGGCCAGUCUGGAGAAGCAAUUGGAAAGAAGUUCAAUUGUUUGCUUUUUAGCACUCAGAAUGAUAGUCAGGCCCAUUGCAGUGAUGCAUGCUAUCAGAAAGUCAGCAAAGGUUCAGUGCCACUGCUGCAGACAUGAGCACUGUGACACCCUGAGCUCCUGUUUUAGGGCUCAUGAGCUGACAGCUCAUAUCACAGCUUGAGGGCUAUGAAGAAGUAAAGGAUUCAGCUGCUCUGGCCCAGCAGAAAGGUUGCCCCUCAAAUUCUGCUGACCCUUCUCAGCUCAAAGAAAGGCUGAGCCACUGCACAGCAUCAAACCUGAGAACAACUGCUAGGAAAACUCGGGUGCAGGAAGGAGCAGCAGCAAGGACGUGGCUCAGAGCAGCUGUACCAGGAAGAGAGCACUUAUACGAACAAGACAGCAUGAGGUAAAGCUCACCAGGACUGAUGGUAACCUAGCCCCACCUGGCCUAAAUCCUUCUCCUGAACACAAACGCCUCCUUGGCGACACCAUAGGCCAAGAGCAUAGGAACCAGCUCAAGGUCAGCAACUCCAGGCCAGAAGGUGCAGGGAGGGCUCAGACCAUCAGUCAGGCACAGGCUCUACAAGUGGAAGCAGAAGCCUCUUGCAGAAAGAUCCCUGGGGGAAGGUGGGUGACCUGGCUCAUCAGCCCGUCACCAAGCAACAGGGAAAUCGAUGGGCCUUGUCUCCAGUGUUCUGCUUGCUUCCAGAUCUCUGGAGAGCAACAAAUCACCUUGUGCCUUAGUACUGAAAUGUUGGAUGUCUGCCCCUUGAUAUGCAGAAGGCUGUGCUAAGGGCAGAUGCUAACCAGCUCUGCACUUCUCACCAUUGCAGGCAGGUCUGGUCUGUUGAACAGUGUGUGAAAGCUCUCAGGAGCAUCCCCAAGGUUGCUCCACUCUGUCCCAUGUCACAGCAGGGGAACUGAUCAGUAUGAAGCUCAAGGAACAAGGACCUCCUUGUUAGGGUAUUUGAUUCUCAGCUUCUUCUGAUGGACAGGUCACUUGCUAAAAGGGGCAAAAUAAGAAACUGGGCUUAAAAUGAACCUUUUAAAAUAAAACAAUACUAAAAGAAACAAAAGCCAUAAUCAAAACAGAAAACAAGUGCAUCUGAUCAGAUGCAAACGUCAGCCUUUCGCAGGCUACAGCGGAAUCCCUCUGCAAUGGAUCUAACAUUACAAUUGUCAGACUAGGAAAGUCUCUCCCAACUGGUGCAGCAAAUCAGGCCAGAUAAAUUCCUCCUCUCCUGGCACAGUCUGCGCUCUUAGGAAGGGAAACAUCCCCACAGAGGCUGAGUGGCCAGCUGGAGCCUUGGUAUCUUUACUCAGGUGAGUACCAUACAUCGUGUUGCACAUUCAGGGAGAUGCUGAAGAACCAGCCUUUGUUCUCCAUAGUUGCUAGUCACCCAAUGGCAUCACAACAUUUCCAUGCUCCUGGAUAAAACAUGUACCCAGGCCUGGUCAUAAGAGCUGCUUUCCCGCUUCGGGAAAUGUAUUCCACCCAGCAAAGGCAGAGAUCUUGCAGCACGCAGCUUUCUUUCAGUAUGGGAUGUGGCCCAGGACUGCUACCAUCUGCUUCCGAUAGCCCAAUACACAGCCAGCCAGGACUCAGUUCACUCUUGGAUGUCCCAGGGAGGAUCAGAGGCUGCACAUGGUGCGACGGGGAAGGCAAGGGCCUUGCUGCUUGCUGGCAGGGGGAAGUCCUGGGUGCGGCUGCAGCUUUGGAACAUCUGUUGAACAAGAAGAAAAGUUACAAGGAGGCAGAAUGUAACCCAGGAAACCUCCCUGUCCUCAGAAGCGAGUGAGGAAAACAAAGCUCCAGGUAAGAAACACAGAACUACUAUCUAAAAGAACCCCAUAAAUUACUUGUUUGCAGGACUGCUGCUGACAGACAAAGCCAGAGAGAAUUCAUCUGCUGCUAUAACUUAAGACUGACCAGACGUGUUCCUUUCUCUUCUACCCCAUAUGCAAGAAGUCUUGUACCAAAUUCAUGCUACUUAUUCUGCAAACGACAGCUUUGUGCACUUACAGAGAAGGAGAAUGCUAAGGCACCUAUCUCAUUCUGCACCCUGUGGGAACGUGCCGAUAGAGAAACAGACUUGGCGGAGGAUGUACAGGGCGCAGAUUUUCGGAUUGUCAUAGUAGCCCUAGAGAAAGUGAAGGUGGAAAUCAUUGCUGCAGCAUAAUUCAAGAACCAAUCUCCCCACCUACUAUCACCUUCCCUACCCCCAGCACACAGCUGCAUCACGUGGCUGGGAAAGAAAAGGGAAAAGGAAGAUCAAGGCUCCGGCCAGCAAGGCCUCGUUACCUUUACAAACUCAAUAUGAAGCUUUCCUGUGAACGUGGAAACCUCUCCCUGGACACUCAGUUUUCCCUUUUUGAUACUCAUGGGAAUGAUCUCGUCGUGAGCCGUGCUAUGUCCAACUCUGUCAAAAAUGUCCAAGUCCUUCACCACGACAUGGCCGUUCAAGCGAACAUCAAACACCUUCAGGGCGGAAGAAACGACAGUGUCAGAACAGAUUCAGGCAUGCGACAGUUGAAAGAGGAAAACCAGAAAGCAUUGCAACACGCACUGUACCACCACACGUUCUCCACUCCCUUGAGAAGGAUUCAGAGGCCAAAAGCAGCCAUCGAGGCGUUAAGGUUGCUUUCAAAUACCCUGAAAUUUGCCUCUUACUUCUAACAUAAUUCCUAUGCCUGCUGUUCAAAACUGAACAACACAAUCCUGUUCUGUUUUAAAUCAUUUCCCUUCACAGCUUUCCACCUGCUGGCUGAGGACCUGCUCCUACCACCCUAGGGAGGCUGUGGCACACCACGCCCAGGGAGUGAGGCCAUUUCUGAUGAACAGCCCAGAGCAAAGCAGGGAACAGGAAACAGAGUGGUGAAGCUACUGACAGGAUGUGGGGUUUGAAGGAGAUGAAAUGAUCAACUGCUAACCACAUCUGAAUUCAGAGUGAAAGUCCUCCUCGGGGCCUUAAUGACUCAAACUUCAGGCAGCACAUAGGGGAAUCCCAGCAGAACCCCAUGAGGGAAGAAGAGCCAGAGAUGUCUCAGCUCUUCAGCUUAAUCUGAGACUGUUUUUUGCAUCCUUUUUGUAAACCAGCCCCAACAGUUCUGUUCCCUGAAAUAUUUCUCUGGCAGGAUGGCAGUACAGUGUUUAAGAGGAGCUCUACAGCAGCUGAGAGUGAGGGAAAAGCCAGAUUGAAAUAUACAUUUCUCUCUCAGUUUAUCACAGGGCAUUGGGUUCUUUGUGCUUUCACUUCCGUAUCUUUACAAGAGGGAUUUCAAAAGCAGGCAAGGAUUAUUUAUCUCCAGAGAGCUUUGAUGAGGGUUGAAUUUAACUCUGUGCCUGCAGUGUCAUUUUGAACCAUUAUUAACUGCAAUUACACUCGUACAAAUUGUGUCAGUAGUUUAUUUAACCCAGAUCAUUUCCCUGAUUCAGUCCGUGCAAUACUUGCUCCAAAACAGGCCUGCAGUUGCAUCAGACACAAGCAGCCAGGGAGAUGGCAAGAAUACUUCUCAAACACAGCACAGACUAAACAGAUCAUAAAAAUCCAAUGCUAUUUAUGUGUUGUUGCACAUGUUUGUUUGAACACUCUUGUAAUGCAGUUUUACGGGCCAAAUGUGCAUCUGUCACGUGGAAGAGGGUGCCAUGUAUCAAACCACCCUCUUACGAGCUCUACAGAUGAAGUUAACCUGUAGUGUCUCACUUCACUUUCUCCACGCAAAGCAUAAAAAACAGCAGAGGCAACCCAGGCAUACACAGCUUUAACUAUCAAAGAGACAGGAAAGCUCAGAGUUGCACAGAGCUGUUGCUUACCUUCUGCUGAGAUUGUGCAAAAUAGACCUCUGCAAACUUCAACACCAACACGUAGUCACCCUCUUCUUUGAUGGGAACUUCAUAGCCAAAGGUUUCCUCGUUGUAACGCUCUGUCUGGUACAGGAUCUGAUCUUCUGCAUUGGACCGCAGGAUUGGCAGUUUCAUACCGUAGUCAGAAGCUGUAUUUCAAGCACAAAACAGGGAGAGGAACGGUUAAUUUCUGAGGAACAUGAAGAGAUGCUUUAUUUACUCUUAAGUGCAUAACUCCCACACUGGCCUUAGCACUCACUGCCUUAGUGAGGCCCAUCCUCACUCCUUGCUCUGGUCAGGAGAAGGCACCACUGGAGCAGAAGUAGAAACAGCCAAAAUCCCUGAACCUGGGUCCUGCAGAAAAACGGGUCUGGACCUGCAGCAGUCCAAGAGACAAAAUUCGCUCACAGAGUUUCAAUAAGAAGAGCUGGUUUCACAAGCAGGGCACAGAGCCAAAAGACUUGGCCCCAGACUCCUGCUUCAAAGAGGGAAAAAACGCCUAGAAUAUUUUUACAACAUUUUCAAAGUACAAACUCUGAGUACAGAACCUAAGCAGUCACUUCAGGACUGACUGCAGUCAUUCAUUCAGCAGGUUUGAAGUUAGCAGGCAGCGGCACAAGGUUUUAGACUCACUCUCCAGCAGCAAAAACCUGAGGGAAGGCAGAAGGGUGAAAAGCAGCAGAUAAGACUUACAAAACCCUUUCUUCUCACCACAGGCAGGCAGUACAUAUCAGCUUGAACAAGGAAGUAGGAAAAGUACAGAAGGGUUUCAAGAGCAGCUCCAUCUCACAGCCACUCGGCUGAAACGGGCACCAACUGCAGGCUCUGAACAGCCCCUAAGAAGGGCUCAAACAACACUGCCAAUAGCUGAGAAAACAACAGAAGUCAUAACAUUUGCCUCUUCUUGCUCCCUACGUCACCACCUCCUGAGCAGCUCUCAGGAGCUCUUACCCUGACUCGGCGUUCUGUUGCGCUACUGUGCAAAUGCAAACUGAUGUGUGCCUUGAGAGCUCAGAACAGAACAACGCCUCAGCAAUGCAGGAGGGAAGGCUGCAGGCACCCAAAGCCCAGUGGCACCUCAGCCAGCAGAAGGUGAUGCAGACCAAGUUAUCUACUGACACUUACCACUGCCACCCCUGUUUCCCUGGGAACAGACACUGCGUUGGCCAAGACAAAGCAAGAACUUCUAACCCAGAACAUAUUGCCAAAAUGGAGCCAAUGCAGACGAGCAAGAGGAAAUUAAUGCCAGUUCUUCAUCUCGUGUUUCACACGCAGCUACUCAGGCAGUAUUACAUGCUGCUGCUCUUUGCCACUCAAACCAGGGCACAGAGACUGGAGGCUCUAAUCAGCAGCAAUACAGAGGGUGAAAAGUUUAACCAGUCCUCCCACACAGACAUCUCCAGCCAGCUACAGAUUACAGCAGUCACAAACCAAGGGCUCCACACAAGUCAGCUCCUAUCAGAGGAAAGCCUGCGUAUAAAGGAAGCCCAUUAAUAGCCAAGACGGUAACUGGAGAGGAAGAGUUGUCACCCAGAGGACUGUUGACAUAGCCAUGAAAGUGAUCUUGAUUUCCCAGUGCAUUAGGUGUGCUCGGAGGCAGCUCACCAGGAGACAAGUGCACGCAUUACGGACACGUAAUUGCUAUCAGCACAUCCUGUUCCUCGGGGCUCAGCAUCUGGACUGAGGCUCGAAAAGCCCAGAGGUGAAGUGCUGCCCCACGUCCUUCCCUCCCAGCCCGCCACGUACUCCCAGUCAGCCACUGCAUGCCGAUCUGCACAGAGAAGCCUGGCACCAAGCAAACAAUUGUGCAAUAAAAAGCCAUUGAAGGAAACGCACUUAAUAGCUCAAAGGGGUAAAGUCUUCUCGGCCGUGCCUGGCACCAUCAGCUAGAGCAGGCUUACUGACAGCCUGCUGUUCAGAGAACACUGGCCUUCCCCAAAGGAGGAGCAGGCCACAGCGUGCUCAGAAAAGACCCUUUUCUUCCUCCUCAACUCAGAAAUACGUCCACCAGGACAUUCUCUUUCAGGUCACACACGAGAGGUGCGUGGAAGGAGCCGACCCAUACUGAUCAGCACACGAGGGCAGGGCAUGAGACACUACGAACCUGUAUUAACAUUUAAACGUGACCUCUGUCCACACGGUGCGCUGAGGGCUCCCCGUACAGCAGGGCUGCUCCUCACACAAGGUCCCAGGGCACAGCGCAGUCCUUGCAGCCCUCACACACACACGGUGAACAGACCAACGGCUCUCUGUGCUCCUGCACUCACCUGUAAGCGGCAGCGGGAGCAGCUCAGCACAGAGAGCCUUCCAAUGCGUUCAUGGAUCGGCUGAGAUACGGUUCACCGAUUAUGAUAAAACGGGCAAAAACUCAGACAUCCUGGGGGGCUUCGGGGGAAGCACGGCAAGGAAACCCACGUGUAAGUGGAACAGCAGCCCUGCAGCUGCUCACGGACAGAAGCUUCCAGCGAUUCGGGAAAUGCUACAGCUGAGAACGGCUCCUCCGCUCUGCGCUUCAGCAGGAACUGCCGCCCGGCGCUGCGCUGCGCUGCGGGAGGACAGCGAGGAGGGGCCGCUCUCAGCUCCCCGCUCUCAGCG